rnacentral:rRNA from 1 species
GACGAACGCUGGCGGCGUGCUUAACACAUGCAAGUCGAACGGAAAGGCCCUGCUUUUGUGGGGUGCUCGAGUGGCGAACGGGUGAGUAACACGUGAGUAACCUGCCCUUGACUUUGGGAUAACUUCAGGAAACCGGGGCUAAUACCGGAUAGAAGCUCCUGCUGCAUGGUGGGGGUUGGAAAGUUUCGGCGGUUGGGGAUGGACUCGCGGCUUAUCAGCUUGUUGGUGGGGUAGUGGCUUACCAAGGCUUUGACGGGUAGCCGGCCUGAGAGGGUGACCGGCCACAUUGGGACUGAGAUACGGCCCAGACUCCUACGGGAGGCAGCAGUGGGGAAUAUUGCACAAUGGGCGGAAGCCUGAUGCAGCAACGCCGCGUGCGGGAUGACGGCCUUCGGGUUGUAAACCGCUUUCGCCUGUGACGAAGCGUGAGUGACGGUAAUGGGUAAAGAAGCACCGGCUAACUACGUG